UACGAAGGUCCCAAGCGUUAUCCGGAUUUAUUGGGUUUAAAGGGUGCGUAGGCGGGCUAUUAAAGUCAGUGGUGAAAGCUCUCGGCCUAACCGAGAAAUUGCCAUUGAUACUGAUGGUCUUGAGUACAUUUGAGGCGGGCGGAAUGUGUCAUGUAGCGGUGAAAUGCUUAGAUAUGACACAGAACACCGAUUGCGUAGGCAGCUCGCUAAACUGUAACUAACGCUGAGGCACGAAAGCGUGGGGAGCAAACAGG
rnacentral:rRNA from 1 species